rfam:Corchorus olitorius cultivar O-4 contig24067, whole genome shotgun sequence.
AUGGCAUGGUGAGGGCAUGCUGCACAAAGCUUCUUGAAUCUAUCCCAAGCUCGAUAAAAAGUUUCAACCUUGUGUUGCUGAAAAGUUGCUAUCCUUUGUCUUCCUUU